rnacentral:rRNA from 1 species
GCAGUCAGAGGCGAUGAAGGGCGUGCUAAUCUGCGAUAAGCGCCGGUAAGGUGAUAUGAACCGUUAUAACCGGCGAUACCCGAAUGGGGAAACCCAGUGUGACUCGUCACACUAUCAUUAACUGAAUCCAUAGGUUAAUGAGGCGAACCGGGGGAACUGAAACAUCUAAGUACCCCGAGGAAAAGAAAUCAACCGAGAUUCCCCCAGUAGCGGCGAGCGAACGGGGAGGAGCCCAGAGCCUGAAUCAGCAUGUGUGUUAGUGGAAGCGUCUGGAAAGGCGCGCGAUACAGGGUGACAGCCCCGUACACAAAAGCGCAUGUGCUGUGAGCUCGAUGAGUAGGGCGGGACACGUGGUAUCCUGUCUGAAUAUGGGGGGACCAUCCUCCAAGGCUAAAUACUCCUGACUGACCGAUAGUGAACCAGUACCGUGAGGGAAAGGCGAAAAGAACCCCGGCGAGGGGAGUGAAAAAGAACCUGAAACCGUGUACGUACAAGCAGUGGGAGCCCCACCACCAAAGCAUUUGCUGUACCGCGUUGACGGAGCGAAGCGACGUCAAACCGAUAAAACAGCAGUGUAAAGUGAGCCGCAGGGCGCUUUGCGCGACAGCGCAAAGGCAGGCGGUUUCGCGUAGCGAAAGCGAAUGCUUUGGGGUGGGGUGACUGCGUACCUUUUGUAUAAUGGGUCAGCGACUUAUAUUCUGUAGCAAGGUUAACCGAAUAGGGGAGCCGGAGGGAAACCGAGUCUUAAUUGGGCGUUAAGUUGCAGGGUAUAGACCCGAAACCCGGUGAUCUAGCCAUGGGCAGGUUGAAGGUUGGGUAACACUAACUGGAGGACCGAACCGACUAAUGUUGAAAAAUUAGCGGAUGACCUGUGGCUGGGGGUGAAAGGCCAAUCAAACCGGGAGAUAGCUGGUUCUCCCCGAAAGCUAUUUAGGUAGCGCCUCGUGAAUUCAUCUCCGGGGGUAGAGCACUGUUUCGGCUAGGGGGCCAUCCCGGCUUACCAACCCGAUGCAAACUGCGAAUACCGGAGAAUGUUAUCACGGGAGACACACGGCGGGUGCUAACGUCCGUCGUGAAGAGGGAAACAACCCAGACCGCCAGCUAAGGUCCCAAAGUCAUGGUUAAGUGGGAAACGAUGUGGGAAGGCCCAGACAGCCAGGAUGUUGGCUUAGAAGCAGCCAUCAUUUAAAGAAAGCGUAAUAGCUCACUGGUCGAGUCGGCCUGCGCGGAAGAUGUAACGGGGCUAAACCAUGCACCGAAGCUGCGGCAGCGACACUGUGUGUUGUUGGGUAGGGGAGCGUUCUGUAAGCCUGUGAAGGUGUGUCGUGAGGCAUGCUGGAGGUAUCAGAAGUGCGAAUGCUGACAUAAGUAACGAUAAAGCGGGUGAAAAGCCCGCUCGCCGGAAGACCAAGGGUUCCUGUCCAACGUUAAUCGGGGCAGGGUGAGUCGACCCCUAAGGCGAGGCCGAAAGGCGUAGUCGAUGGGAAACGGGUUAAUAUUCCCGUACUUGGUGUUACUGCGAAGGGGGGACGGAGAAGGCUAUGUUGGCCGGGCGACGGUUGUCCCGGUUUAAGCGUGUAGGUGUGUGUUCCAGGUAAAUCCGGUUCACUUUAACACUGAGGCGUGACGACGAGGCACUACGGUGCUGAAGCAACAAAUGCCCUGCUUCCAGGAAAAGCCUCUAAGCAUCAGGUAACAUCAAAUCGUACCCCAAACCGACACAGGUGGUCAGGUAGAGAAUACCAAGGCGCUUGAGAGAACUCGGGUGAAGGAACUAGGCAAAAUGGUGCCGUAACUUCGGGAGAAGGCACGCUGACACGUAGGUGAAGUGAUUUACUCAUGGAGCUGAAGUCAGUCGAAGAUACCAGCUGGCUGCAACUGUUUAUUAAAAACACAGCACUGUGCAAACACGAAAGUGGACGUAUACGGUGUGACGCCUGCCCGGUGCCGGAAGGUUAAUUGAUGGGGUCAGCGCAAGCGAAGCUCCUGAUCGAAGCCCCGGUAAACGGCGGCCGUAACUAUAACGGUCCUAAGGUAGCGAAAUUCCUUGUCGGGUAAGUUCCGACCUGCACGAAUGGCGUAAUGAUGGCCAGGCUGUCUCCACCCGAGACUCAGUGAAAUUGAACUCGCUGUGAAGAUGCAGUGUACCCGCGGCAAGACGGAAAGACCCCGUGAACCUUUACUAUAGCUUGACACUGAACAUUGAGCCUUGAUGUGUAGGAUAGGUGGGAGGCUUUGAAGUGUGGACGCCAGUCUGCAUGGAGCCGACCUUGAAAUACCACCCUUUAAUGUUUGAUGUUCUAACGUGGACCCGUUACCCGGGUUGCGGACAGUGUCUGGUGGGUAGUUUGACUGGGGCGGUCUCCUCC